UACGUAGGGAGCAAGCGUUGUCCGGAAUCAUUGGGCGUAAAGCGCGCGUAGGUGGCUUCGUAAGUCCGUUGUGAAAGUCAAAGGCUCAACCUUUGAAUGCCGAUGGAUACUGCGGAGCUAGAGUACGGAAGAGGCGAGUGGAAUUCCUGGUGUAGCGGUGGAAUGCGCAGAUAUCAGGAGGAACACCAAUAGCGAAGGCAGCUCGCUGGGACGUUACUGACACUAAGGCGCGAAAGCGUGGGGAGCGGACAGG
rnacentral:rRNA from 1 species